rnacentral:rRNA from 1 species
AGUGAACGCUGGCGGUAGGCCUAACACAUGCAAGCCGAACGGCAGCACAGUAAGAGCUUGCUCUUACGGGUGGCGAGUGGCGGACGGGUGAGGAAUACAUCGGAAUCUACUUUUUCGUGGGGGAUAACGUAGGGAAACUUACGCUAAUACCGCAUACGACCUACGGGUGAAAGCAGGGGAUCUUCGGACCUUGCGCGAUUGAAUGAGCCGAUGUCGGAUUAGCUAGUUGGCGGGGUAAAGGCCCACCAAGGCGACGAUCCGUAGCUGGUCUGAGAGGAUGAUCAGCCACACUGGAACUGAGACACGGUCCAGACUCCUACGGGAGGCAGCAGUGGGGAAUAUUGGACAAUGGGCGCAAGCCUGGUCCAGCCAUACCGCGUGGGUGAAGAAGGCCUUCGGGUUGUAAAGCCCUUUUGUUGGGAAAGAAAAGCAGCAGGUUAAUACCCCGCUGUUCUGACGGUACCCAAAGAAUAAGCACCGGCUAACUUCGUG